rnacentral:rRNA from 1 species
UACAGAGGGUGCGAGCGUUAAUCGGAAUUAUUGGGCGUAAAGGGUGCGUAGGUGGUUGAAUAAGUUAUCUGUGAAAACCCUGGGCUUAACUUGGGGGAGAGAGAUAAAACUGUUUGACUAGAGUAUGGGAGAGGGUAGUGGAAUUUCCGGUGUAGCGGUGAAAUGCGUAGAGAUCGGAAGGAACACCGGUGGCGAAGGCGGCUACCUGGCCUAAUACUGACACUGAGGCACGAAAGCGUGGGGAGCAAACAGG